GAAGCGGCAACAGCUCAAAUUUGAAGAUCUGACCUUUGGGGUCCGAGUUGUAAUUUGCAGAGGGUGUUUCGGGCACGGUGCCGGUUUAAGUCCUUUGGAACAGGGUGUCAUAGAGGGUGAGAACCCCGUAUGUGACCGGUCGCCAAACCCAUGUGAAACCCCUUCGACGAGUCGAGUUGUUUGGGAAUGCAGCUCAAAAUGGGUGGUAAAUUUCAUCUAAAGCUAAAUAUUGGCCAGAGACCGAUAGCGCACAAGUAGAGUGAUCGAAAGAUGAAAAGCACUUUGGAAAGAGAGUCAAACAGCACGUGAAAUUGUUGAAAGGGAAGCGCUUGCGACCAGACCUGCUCGCGGGUGAUCAGCGGUGCUUUUCGCGCCGUGCACUCAUCCGCGAUCAGGCCAGCAUCGGUUCAGGCGGCCGGACAAAGACUUGGAGAAUGUAGCUCCCUCCGGGGAGUGUUAUAUCUCCUUGUGCAAUACGGCCAGCCGGGACCGAGGACCGCGCUUCGGCUAGGAUGCUGGCGUAAUGGUCGUAAGCGACCCGUCUUGAAACACGGACCAAGGAGUCUAACAUCUGUGCGAGUGUUUGGGCGUUAAACCCAUGCGCGCAAUGAAAGUGAACGUGAGGUGGGAACCCUCUCGGGGGCGCACCAUCGACCGAUCCAGAUGUCUUCGGAUGGAUUUGAGUAAGAGCACAGCUGUUGGGACCCGAAAGAUGGUGAACUAUGCCUGAAUAGGGUGAAGCCAGAGGAAACUCUGGUGGAGGCUCGCAGCGGUUCUGACGUGCAAAUCGAUCGUCAAAUUUGGGUAUAGGGGCGAAAGACUAAUCGA
rnacentral:rRNA from 1 species